CCUGGCUCAGGAUGAACGCUAGCGGCAGGCUUAAUACAUGCAAGUCGUGGGGCAGCAUGAGUAGACAAUACUUGAUGGCGACCGGCAAACGGGUGAGGAACACGUACACAACCUUCCUUCAAGCGGGGAAUAGCCCAGAGAAAUUUGGAUUAAUACCCAUAAUAUAUUUGAUAAGGCAUCUUAUUAAUAUUAAAGCUUCGGCACUUGAUGAUGGGUGUGCGGCUGAUUAGAUAGUUGGCGGGUAACGGCCCACCAAGUCUACGAUCAGUAGCUGAUGUGAGAGCAUGAUCAGCCACACGGGCACUGAGACACGGGCCCGACUCCUACGGGAGGCAGCAGUAAGGAAUAUUGGACAAUGGACGAAAGUCUGAUCCAGCCAUGCCGCGUGAAGGAUUAAGGUCCUCUGGAUUGUAAACUUCUUUUAUAUGGGACGAAAAAAGGGCAUUCUUGUUCACUUGACGGUACCAUAUGAAUAAGCACCGGCUAACUCCGUG
rnacentral:rRNA from 1 species